CAUUCCCUUGGAACUGCUUGGCACACAAACACCCUGUUUCCAUGCAAAUGCUCUUAAUAUAAGCCAAUGCAAUUAAAGGCAUUGAACAUGGAGGAUACAAGACACACCGGGAAGCAACAAUGUCUAUAUUUUAGCACUGGAGGCUUUUCUUUUUGAAGAUUGUUUUGCGGUUGAACUUCAAAGAAAACCUCAAACGAAGAGAGGGGAUUACACCGCAUGAAAAGAGGAUUAAAUGUUUUCUCGUCAUUAGACGUGGACAAUAUUUAUUUUUUUCGCGCGAUAUUCCAAGACACUGUUCUAUUUUCAUGCGUAUGAAGAGGCAAGGACACAGAGUGUGAGGGCAGAGAUUGCACAAUGUAGUGAUUCAGUACUCAUUCACCUGGUGAUUCUUUGCUCUUCCUGCUCGACCUUGAGUGGGGAUAAUGGCCACGCUUCCCCAAAGAAAGGAAUGAUAGCCGUUAUCUCCAAAUGGAGAACACAGUGAUGAAAUAUCCUGGGAGUGGCCGGCUAAAAUUUCUCCAACAACUCAUCCAGGAAGUGACAAAAGAUUCCAGAAGAGCAUCCAAAGAACUGCAGACCUCUGUAGCCUCAACAAAAGUCAGUGUUCAUGACUUCACAAUAAGAAAGAGACUGAGCAAAAAUGGAAUUCAUGGGUGAGUAGCAAGGCAGAAACAUCUGCUAACCAAGAGUGCUCGUCUCACAUUUACAAAACAGCACCUGGAUAAUGGCCAAGACUUUUGGGAUAAUGUCUUAUGGACAGAUUAGUCAAAAGUGGAACUUUUUAGAUGACAUGGUUCCCAUCAUUUAUGGCGUAAAGCAAAUGCAGCAUUUCACAGUAAGAACGUCAUACAAACAUGGUGUAUGAUGGUGGUGGUAGUGUGAUGGUUUGGGGAUGCUUUGCAGCUUCGGGACCUGGACAACUUGCAGAAUUGACCAUUAUUGAAGUAAUCAGGAAUUUUGCUCUGGACCAGAAAAUUCAGUCAUCAUGCUGAAGCAUAAUCGGGUUAUGCAGCAGCAUAAUGAUCCAAAACACAAAAAAUGUCUGAAUGGGUGAAAAGAAACACAAAUUAAGUUUUGGAGUGAAUUUGUCGAAGUCCUGACUUGAACCCAAUAGAGAUGUUGUCGCAUGACUUAUAAGGAACAGUUCAUGCUUGAAAACCAAAUAAUGUGUCUGAAUUAAAGCAGUUCUGCAAGAAAGAGUGGGCUAAAAUACCUUCACGGAAAUGUGAAAGGCUGAUAGAAAAUUAAAGUGUUUGCAGUUAUUGCUGCUUCAGGGGGAAAUUAUUUUUUCAUGUAGGUGAUAAGGGCUAUUAACCUUGUUGACUAAAUUAAUUAAAUAAUAAUUUAAAAUAUGUGUUGUGCUAACUCGGUUUACGAUUGUCUAGUAUUACAUUUCGUCAUAAGAACUGUAACCAUUCAGUGCGACAAAUAUGCAAUAAUACAGGAAACCAGUAAGGGGGCACAUAUUUUUUUCAUGGCACUGUAACUUUUUUUUUCUGAAAAUUAAAAAUGAACUCUGGAAUAAAUAGGUCUUGUGCAUUAUGCAUUCAAUUACAAAUGUGGUGAACACACAUUUAAUUAUUUAUAUAUGUAUUCGCAUUCUUGUUUUAUAUUCAGACUGAAUUCAUCUUGGCUUAUUUAAGCUAAUGCCACCUUUAAGUCAGGGCCAAUGACUUCAAAUGUGCUUCUUAUUUUGUAAUCACUAAUAAUUUUCUUCCUUGUCAACAUUUUACAUCUACAUAAAUCUCAGAUACAUUUGUUAAUUUAAAAUUCAUUAAUAUGGGAGGCCUCCGUGUAAUGUGACUUUUACAAAGGGGUCAUUUCUGGAAUUUACAAUAUACAAUUAUCCAUCAGCAACAUUCUUCUCACAAAGUACUUUUGGAAGGGUAUUUAUAGAGUGUAUGCAACCAAAAUGGCCUAACAAGACAUGAUUUUUGUUUUCCUUCAUAUUAUUUGGAUUUUUCUGUAAAAAAAAAAAGCACUGCAUGGGAAUUAAUUUGUUUUGUAUAGUUCAUGAAUUAAAACUUGAUUCAGUGACUGAGAGUUGUUUUUUUUUUCUGAAUAGCUUUGCAGGGAAAAUACAGUCUGGUCUCAGCGUGAAUUUGUUGGGACCUGUGCUCCUGAAUAGAUUGGCAACUGUACUGAAUACUCUCCAUUUGUGAAUCACUUGUUCUUUACCUGUUAUGUUAUCACCUGUCUAUAUAUAUAUAUAGCAAAAGUCUGAUGAAGGGUUGCAAGAGGGGUUAUCAAUUGAGUAAACAUGUUUAAUCUGU